AGCUUGCUCUCGGGUGACGAGCGGCGGACGGGUGAGUAAUGUCUGGGAAACUGCCUGAUGGAGGGGGAUAACUACUGGAAACGGUAGCUAAUACCGCAUAACGUCGCAAGACCAAAGUGGGGGACCUUCGGGCCUCAUGCCAUCAGAUGUGCCCAGAUGGGAUUAGCUAGUAGGUGGGGUAACGGCUCACCUAGGCGACGAUCCCUAGCUGGUCUGAGAGGAUGACCAGCCACACUGGAACUGAGACACGGUCCAGACUCCUACGGGAGGCAGCAGUGGGGAAUAUUGCACAAUGGGCGCAAGCCUGAUGCAGCCAUGCCGCGUGUGUGAAGAAGGCCUUCGGGUUGUAAAGCACUUUCAGCGGGGAGGAAGGCGAUGAGGUUAAUAACCUUGUCGAUUGACGUUACCCGCAGAAGAAGCACCGGCUAACUCCGUGCCAGCAGCCGCGGUAAUACGGAGGGUGCAAGCGUUAAUCGGAAUUACUGGGCGUAAAGCGCACGCAGGCGGUCUGUCAAGUCGGAUGUGAAAUCCCCGGGCUCAACCUGGGAACUGCAUUCGAAACUGGCAGGCUAGAGUCUUGUAGAGGGGGGGUAGAAUUCCAGGUGUAGCGGUGAAAUGCGUAGAGAUCUGGAGGAAUACCGGUGGCGAACGCGGCCCCCUGGACGAAGACUGACGCUCACGUGCGAAAGCGUGUGGAGCAGACAGGAUUAGAUACCCUGGUACUCCACGCCGUAGACGAUCUCCAUCUGGAGGUUGUGCCCUUGAGGCGUGGCUUCCGGAGCUAACGCGUUAAAUCGACCGCCUGGCGAGUACAGCCGCAAGGUUAAGACUCAAAUGAAUUGACGGGGGCGCGCACAAGCAGUGCAGCAUGUAGUUUAAUUCGAUGCAGCGCGCACAAUCUUACCUGGUCUUGACAUCCACAGAAGUUUCCACAGAUGGAUUGGUGCCUUCCGGAACUGUUAAACAGGUGCUUCAUGGCUGUCGUCAGCUCCUGU
rnacentral:rRNA from 1 species